rnacentral:rRNA from 1 species
UACGUAGGGUGCAAGCGUUGUCCGGAAUUAUUGGGCGUAAAGAGCUCGUAGGCGGUUUGUCGCGUCUGCUGUGAAAACUCGGGGCUUAACUCCGGGCCUGCAGUGGGUACGGGCAGACUAGAGUGCGGUAGGGGGAGACUGGAAUUCCUGGUGUAGCGGUGAAAUGCGCAGAUAUCAGGAGGAACACCGAUGGCGAAGGCAGGUCUCUGGGCAUUAACUGACGCUGAGGAGCGAAAGCAUGGGGGAGCGAACAGG